rnacentral:rRNA from 1 species
AAUUUGUUCAAACGGUGGAACAUGUGGUUUAAUGCGAUAAUCCACGCAAAAUCUUACCAAUAUUUAUAACUAAAUUAUAGCUAAGAUAUAAUAAGUUAAUAGUGUUGAUUUAGACUCGGUACUGCAUGGCUGUCGUCAGUUCGUGCUUUGAAGUGUAAAAUUUAUUUUUAUAACGAACGCAACCUUUCGUGCGCUGUUACUAUAUAUAGCUACCGCAUAUAAAGUAUUAGCGCAAGAUUUUAAUUUACUAAAUUUUAUAGUGAAUUAAUUCAGGUUUUAGCUGAAGUCAAGUCCUUAUGGUCUUUAUAUAUUGGGCUACACACGUGUUACAAAGGUAAAAACAAAAAGUAACAAUUGUUUAAACAUAAGUAAAUCUUUAAAAAUUACCUUAGUUCGGAUUAUUUUAUGUAACUCUAAAGUAUGAAGAUGAAAUCGUUAGUAAUUAUAAGUUAGUAUACUAUAAUGAAACAUAAGUCAAAUUUUGCACACACUGCCCAUCACGCUCGAAAAAUUAUAUGCAAUAUAAAAUUUGUUAAUUAUACUACUCUUAAUAUUAUAUUAAAGGUCCAGUAUUGAUAGUUGUAGUUUCAUGUAGUAAUUU